CUCUAAUGAGACUGCCGGUGACAAGCCGGAGAAGGUGGGGAUGACGUCAAGUCCUCAUGGCCCUUAUAGGUGGGGCUACACACGUCAUACAAUGGCUGGUACAAAGGGUUGCCAACCCGCGAGGGGGAGCCAAUCCCAUAAAGCCAGUCGUAGUCCGGAUCGUAGUCUGCAACUCGACUACGUGAAGUCGGAAUCGCUAGUAAUCGUGGAUCAGAAUGUCACGGUGAAUACGUUCCCGGGUCUU
rnacentral:rRNA from 1 species